GGCGGGUUGGUGUAAUGGUAACACACAAGGUUCUGAGCCUUGAUUUGGUAGUUCGAAUCUAUCGCCCGCAACCA
rnacentral:tRNA from 1 species